AAAUGUCGACUACAAAGUUACGUAUACAGAUUGCUUGGGCAGAAGAGGUAUUCUUCAAACCAAUACAAAUAGCAAAAAUUAUAUAAGGGAAAUAAAAAGAGGAACCAUUUUUCACCACUCUCCUCUUGGGAAUAUUCAUACUUAUCAUACACACAGAAGGCACAUCAGUGUUAAGGUUCCAGCUGCAAAAGUAGACUACAAAGUUAGGUAUACAGAAUGCUUGGGCAGAAGAGGUAAUUCUUCAAACCAAUACAAAUAGCAAAAAAAUAUAUAAGGGAAAUAAACAGAGGAACCAUUUUCCACUACUUUCCUCUUGGGAAUAUUCAUUAACUUAUCAUACACACAGAAGGCUCAUCAGUGUUAAGGUUCCAGCUUCAGUGAGACCACUCUACACUGCCUGUUACGCUUGGCCGUCUUCGUGAAGACUACAGAGAAACAAGAUGGGGCCCACCAUGGUUGUCGU
rnacentral:lncRNA from 1 species